rnacentral:rRNA from 1 species
UUGGAGGGCAAGUCUGGUGCCAGCAGCCGCGGUAAUUCCAGCUCCAAUAGCGUAUAUUAAAGUUGUUGCAGUUAAAAAGCUCGUAGUUGAACUUCGGGGUUUACCCAUUGGUCAGGCUUAAUUGUCUGUACUGGUGAGAUGAAUCUCUACCUUCUGAGGAACUUUCAUGCCAUUUAUUUGGUGUGAUGGGAAAUCAGGACUGUUACUUUGAAAAAAUUAGAGUGUUUAAAGCAGGCUAACGUCUGAAUACAUUAGCAUGGAAUAAUGAAAUAGGACGGACUGAUUCUAUUUCGUUGGUUUCUAGGAUCACCGUAAUGAUUAAUAGGGAUAGUUGGGGGCAUUAGUAUUCAAUUGUCAGAGGUGAAAUUCUUGGAUUUAUUGAAGACUAACUACUGCGAAAGCAUUUGCCAAGGAUGUUUUCAUUAAUCAAGAACGAAAGUUAGGGGAUCGAAGACGAUCAGAUACCGUCGUAGUCUUAACCAUAAACUAUGCCGACUAGGGAUCGGACGAUGUUAAUUUUUUAAUGACUCGUUCGGCGCCUUACGGGAAAC